rnacentral:rRNA from 1 species
AUGACGUAACAUUAUGCCGGAUAAUAAAAACAACAGUUUAAAAUUCAAACAAUUUGGCGGUGUCUUAUAUAAUCAGGGGAACCUGUCUCUUAAUUCGAUAGUCCACGAUAACUGAUCCUUAUUUAGCUAACAGCCUGUGUACUGCUGUCGUCAGUAAACCUCUAUAAGAAAGUUUACAAAAAUGAGAAUUCUCACUUACGUCAAGUCAAAGUGCAGCCAAUAAUAAGGUGACGAUGGGUUACAAUCUAUAAAUAGAUACCAAAAAUAUUAUAAAUAUAUUAUAAAGGUGGACUUGAAAGUAAUAACUAUAAAUCUUGUUAUGAACCAUAAUCUAAGACAUGCACACAUCGCCCGUCACUCUCGUC